CACACUAUGAAGAAGGGAUCAUAGAGCCCAAAAUAGGAACGCAGCAAUAUUUAGAAUCUUGGGAUCUCAGAACAAGAAGAGACCUUAAAUUUUUGUAGCAAGACUCAACAUGGAACAUAGGUCCUUUGGAGACAUGGUUGAUCAUUGCCUUGAUCGAGAUACAGAAAAGCAGAAUCUAACACCAUGGGAGUGUGAGUCAUGGUAAUUUGGGAGUCAGAAUCCAUAACGGCUUUGCAGACAAUGCAGCAUCAAUGCACCAAGAACUAAAGAAUGAUCUUCAAGAACAAACUUCGGGACCCCAUCCCAGUGAAAGGAUUUGCUUAGUAGGACCAAUGAUAUAUAGAACCUGAGCUAUUUUAGGCUUAUUCCCUCAAAUGCCAAGGUGGUAAAGAAGAGAUUAUGCCCUAGAAGUAUUUGCAGAAAUGUUUGUACAAAAAAGGGAAAGGUUUGUAUAUUUGUUCUUGCCAUACCUUUGAAGUAAAAAUACCUUUGUGAAAACUCAACUCAUAUUAAGUGGCUAAAUGGUAGUGGAAUGCAUAAUAAUAGAGACUGGGGAAUAGCUGAUGGCAGCUGGAGCUAAUGACAGUAAGGGGAAAGGCAUAAAUCCCAUAAGGUUCACUAGGAUCAUGAGGAAGGAGAUGUAGCCUGCCUAGCUCCAAGAGAAGGGGGAGCAAAGGAUACUCACUAGCUCCUGCCUUUAGGAGAUCUCUAGAUUUUCAAUGGUGUUAAAUGCUACCCUAUUAGAAAUUGAUGUAGAGUGCAACUGUAGCAACUUCUGAAUUUCCCCAUGAUUUUUGUCAAACCAGUCCUGAUGUUUGUGAGUGUUCUGGCCCAAAUAAGCAAAUGUGGUGCUGUAUACCAAAUGUCUAAAAGCUACAUACUCCUUUGAUACUGUGAGGGCUUUAAUCAUGGCAAAAUUUAGUUGUUUGAAGAAAUUAGUCAGUAUUGUAUGGCAGUUUCAUGAUGACAUGCUUGCACAGAUUCUGGAUAAAGGACAAUGCUCUCACACUUUCCCAUUUACCAGUGGAGUGAAGCAGGGCUGUGCGCUUGCUCCCAUGUAUAAUGUUUUUCAGGAUGCUGUCAGAUGUCUUCAGCAAGGGUGAAAAUAGCAUCAUUAGCUACUGCACUGGUGGUAAACCAUUUAAAUUGAAAAGGCUACAAGCAGAGACUAAAGUGGAAGGAGACUUGGUUUGUGACUUUUGGUUUUCAGAUGAUUGUGCACUCUAUGCAGCUUCUGGGCUAAGAUGCAACAGAGCAUGGAUUGAUUCUCUACCACUUGUGCUAAUGUUAGCCUGUCAUUCAACAUCAAGAAAACAGAGGUUCUCUACCAGCCGGCACUAUGUCUACCAUCCAUAAGUGGAACUAUUCAUUAAAGCAAAUGGAGAAAUUUUGAAUGCUAUGGAUAAGUUCACUGUACCUUGACCCCAACAUCAUGAUGUCCUUGAUCCUCUCCAAGUACAAAGGAUGAACAACAGGAUUUGCAAUAAUUUUUAUACUGCUUAGUGUUUUCCUUGAUUUACUCAUCUCCAACUUUAGUUCUUGAAUUAGGGUUUUUAACCAGGGUAAGGGUAGAGUGAUAGGCCUUGUUUGGUUUUGACUUAGAUUCUUAUACUGACCUCUACUUCUUGGUAGGGGGAGGGAGGAACUUAAUCUUUAAGGUCCACAGUGUUGGAUCUUCAUGUCUUUUUAUUAUAUCUCAGACAAAGUGUUAGAGACUUCAGAACCGCUGGGCCUGGGGUGUCCAUGUCUGAGUACUGUGGCACCAAUACCAUGCUGAUUGCUAGUCGCUUUCCAUUUCCAGUCCCUAGAACUUCCAAGGGCCCCAUGUGGAGGUUUUCUGAUAACCCUGGUGAUUUCUCAGAGGAUCUUUCUGCUUUAACUGCAUCCAAACACAGAACUUUGUAAACUACAUUUGUUUCUAGCCAUCUCUGGUCAUGCAAGGCGGUUAUCCUGCACUGGGGCUGGUUUUCUUGGUGAGGCUCCCUCUUUUAUCACCCUUGGGCUGCUGGAUGACCUCUUGUGCACUUCUGGGGUAGAAGAAAUAUCUUACUGUAGUUUAUGAUUGAAUUUGGUUUGUUUGGUUUUCCUUUUUUAAUCUUUAUUUGGUCUGGUGCAAAUUUCAGUGAUUUGUUGAAGUUAGUUAUAUGGGAACUAGGCAGUCUGGAUCCUGAUUAGGCAACUGUCUUGGCCAGUUGUCCACCUACUUAUUUCUUUCAGAAGCAUGGAAAUAUUGUCUUUUAGACUCAAAGGAAAUAAUAGAGACCCUUGAGUCCAACCCCUGAUUACCCUGAUGAUGAAACUGAGGCCUAGAGUGAUGAAAUGGCUUUUUCAAUGUUAUCCAGCAAUGUCUAAAUACUAUGGUUUCCUAAAAAACAUAGAUAUCACUAGUUGCCAUUUAUGCACCUAAUGGUGUACAGAAUAGUAAGUACAUACAUGGGGAAGUAUAAUACACACAGAGGGAUAUGUACAUAUAUUAUAUAUGUAGAUAUUAAAGACAGGGCAUUAUUUAAUACAUUGGGAUUCUAGAGUAGUGUUAAGCUCAAACAGAAAGAGGGAUCUUUAAGAGGAUCCCUGUCAUCUGUAUAUUGACUUGGUUUUAAAAUGCAAUAUUAUCUAUGUUUUAUUAUAUUUUUAUUUCUUUAAAAAAUAUUUCCCAAUUACAUUUAAUCUGGUUCAGGCCAUGCUUGGGAGUGUUAUGUGUCACAUGAAGCCUGCUAGCAAUAUGUUUUAUACCUCUGUUCUAGUAUAUCUCCUCAUGUUAAUAUGAAUAGUAUUUUUCUUUUUUUAGUUGAACAUUUUUAUGUAAAGUUUUGAGUUCCAAAUUCUAUU